GCGGGGGCCCGGCGCCGAGAGGGGGUGUGGUGGUACGGGCGGUGCGCAGGUCCGUCAGUUCCCGACACCUAGCACGCAGCAGGUGCUUAUUCCCAGGGUAUAACAUUCCUACUAGACCGCCAGAUCUGAAUUUUGCCAGAAAUUCAUCCACCAUGCUUCCCUAGAAUUAUCUGGAGGGCAUCGAGAAUGCCCACCAUUGGCUUGGAGAUGUCAAAUGACUAAACUAAGAUCACAAUGAACAUGCAUCAGUUCAAAGAUGGAGUGAGCACCUAUCAUAUAUAUAAAUGGUUCUAGGCGUGAGAUAGGUUCCUGGAAUAAGGCUCCUUAUGCUUGAUAUGUAAUGGUAAUUUUUGGAGUCCUGGAAUAAAGAGACUAGGAGAGAAAAAAAAUGGGAAAGUAAAAAUGAAAUGGACAGUCUGAAAAUAAAAGGAAAAGACCAGGGAAGAAACAAGAAAGUUUAUUUACUUCUACGUGGAUUAAAGUUCUUGUUGGUGCCAUACUACAAAA